UUCUCCAAGUUCAACGUUCUUCAGCCGUGUGCACGUUGUCUGGCAAGCUUAGGAAGCGUAGACCUUCAAGUAUCCGGUCCGGUGUUUUAAAGUUUAUACAGCGUAGACCUUCAGCAACGUUAAUAACGCAGUGUUCAGGCUUAUUCAGUAAUGAGAGUGGGUAUCGGAAUGGCUUAAUCACCUGCGACCAAAACUCCUGAAACAUGUAAGUGUUGAUCUAUCAUCUGUGAGUUCUGUAAAUUCCUUAAGGUUUCGGUGACGUCUUCCAUUCUUCUCUUCAAAGGUUAUUUUCCAGAGAACUUUAUUUAAAAGGUAAUGACUGCUAAUAAGGUGCUUUUGUUGGAAGUUCAUAAAGUGAUUUGGAAAAGAAAAGAGGAGGUAUUAGAUCGACAGAGAAAGUUCAAGCGGACGGAGAUUGAUCUGCAAA